GAGUGGGGGAUAACGUAGCGAAAGUUACGCUAAUACCGCAUACGAUCUAAGGAUGAAAGUGGGGGAUUCGCAAGAACCUCAUGCUCGUGGAGCGGCCGAUAUCUGAUUAGCUAGUUGGUAGGGUAAAAGCCUACCAAGGCAUCGAUCAGUAGCUGGUCUGAGAGGACGACCAGCCACACUGGAACUGAGACACGGUCCAGACUCCUACGGGAGGCAGCAGUGGGGAAUUUUGGACAAUGGGCGAAAGCCUGAUCCAGCAAUGCCGCGUGAGUGAAGAAGGCCUUCGGGUUGUAAAGCUCUUUUGUCAGGGAAGAAACGGUGAAAGCUAAUAUCUUUUGCUAAUGACGGUACCUGAAGAAUAAGCACCGGCUAACUACGUGCCAGCAGCCGCGGUAAUACGUAGGGUGCAAGCGUUAAUCGGAAUUACUGGGCGUAAAGCGUGCGCAGGCGGUUUUGUAAGUCUGAUGUGAAAUCCCCGGGCUCAACCUGGGAAUUGCAUUGGAGACUGCAAGGCUAGAAUCUGGCAGAGGGGGGUAGAAUUCCACGUGUAGCAGUGAAAUGCGUAGAUAUGUGGAGNGAACACCGAUGGCGAAGGCAGCCCCCUGGGUCAAGAUUGACGCUCAUGCACGAAAGCGUGGGGAGCAAACAGGAUUAGAUACCCUGGUAGUCCACGCCCUAAACGACGUCUACUAGUUGUCGGGUCUUAAUUGACUUGGUAACGCAGCUAACGCGUGAAGUAGACCGCCUGNGNGGANGUACGGUNCGCAAGAUUNAAAACUCAAAGGAAUUGACGGGGACCCGCACAAGCGGUGGAUGAUGUGGAUUAAUUCGAUGCAACGCGAAAAACCUUACCUACCCUUGACAUGGCUGGAAUCCUUGAGAGAUUGAGGAGUGCUCGAAAGAGAACCAGUACACAGGUGCUGCAUGGCUGUCGUCAGCUCGUGUCGUGAGAUGUUGGGUUAAGUCCCGCAACGAGCGCAACCCUUGUCAUUAGUUGCUACGAAAGGGCACUCUAAUGAGACUGCCGGUGACAAACCGGAGGAAGGUGGGGAUGACGUCAAGUCCUCAUGGCCCUUAUGGGUAGGGCUUCACACGUCAUACAAUGGUACAUACAGAGCGCCGCCAACCCGCGAGGGGGAGCUAAUCGCAGAAAGUGUAUCGUAGUCCGGAUUGUAGUCUGCAACUCGACUGCAUGAAGUUGGAAUCGCUAGUAAUCGCGGAUCAGCAUGUCGCGGUGAAUACGUUCCCGGGUCUUGUACACACCGCCCGUCACACCAUGGGAGCGGG
rnacentral:rRNA from 1 species